GAAGAGAAAGACUCUGGGUUUGGUUGAGGCUGUGUGUGUAGCAGCAGCAGCACUCGAGGUCACGACACCAGGUGAGGUUUUAUACUGAAAGAGAGAAGGUGAAGAUGUCACUGUUGCUUUCAAAUGUUUGUGAUUUCACAAUAAGACUCCAUCUCCGUUUCAACACCUGUAGCCUGUCUCAUCUCUGUUGUUUUGUAAAGUUGCUCCAGCUGUUCAGUGUAAAUUGCAUCAUCGCCACGUGAGCCAUGAAGAAAACCGCAUCACAGAAGCUAAAGCAUAUUUAUUCACGUAGAACAGGAACAUUUCUCCUUAAUUACACAGUUCUAGCACGACUCGGAUCGGCUCCACUCUGUGAUAGUACCUGGUACCUUUAAGGUUUUUCACUUAAAGGUACCAGGUACAUUUCCUGAAUGCAGUUUCCUGCAUCCAGCUAAUUGGAGCUGCAUGGUGAAGGGAACAGCAGCAGCUGUUGUCAGAGCAUUCAUUUUUGAUAUGGUAUGAUCAGGUUUGCGAGACGCCACAACAUGAUUGUGAAGUUUAAAUAUCUUGGAAUUAUCCUAGAUUCCAAUAUCGACUAGGGAAAGAAAAUAAACGUUAACAUCAAGAAAAUGGACCAAAUAAUCUGCAAACAUUGGAAGACGACAAAGAUGUAUGCACCAAAUGCAAGCACCAGAGAAAGGCGGGGCCAUGACAUUAUCGUAAACACAAGGGGUGGCACACGUUUUUCAAAAAAACUGUGUGUCAGUGCGGUUCUGAAUAAAUUAGCUGUGAGGCUUUAGCGUAGCUGAACGUGCAGCGACACAAGCUACUCUAGUUUGUGAUUUCCUGGAUUCCAGUUCCCAGCUCAUUGCUGCUACAUCACAGUUAAACGCUGCAAACGGCGGAUCAGAUUUAGUCGACUGUAGCGCUCCUCGCCGAGCUGCAUCUUGUAAAACUGAGUGCAUAGGUUUGGAGUUUGAGGCGCGAUCCCGAAGCUCCCUGCACCAUUUUCCCAUUUCCCGGCUUUUCCAUGUCGUCUUCGCUCUGCGGCCUCGCUCCUGAGGAAAAACAGACGCCUCCUCUGUUGCCGGCCUCCCCCUCCCCCCCCCCAGUCUCUCGGCUUUCUUCUCUCCUUGCCCCCUGGGCUUUUUUGUUUUUAUGGCAGGCCUUCUAACACAUGACCUCUGCCAGGCAUUAGGCUGCGUGUACACAUCCAUACACAACAAAAUAAAGCGAGAGCAGCCAUGUGAUUAUGUAUGAACCGAGCUCAUGGCGUUAACAGUCACUCGGGAACGUUGUGUGAGGCGAGGCCCGGCGCCGCAGAAGUCUCCUUGGCCGCCAGGUUCCAGGGGCGAUAACGGCGUCUCUGAUUUAUUCGCUGCAAAACACAUUUGUACUUUAAUCCGAUCACACGGCAGCCUCGGAGAGUAAGAAAUCAUCCUCGCCUCGUUUAGGCUUCUUCUCCCCCCCCCCCGCUCUGCCCUGUCUGGACCUGUCGCUCCUGCGCUUCGUCCGAGUCGCUGCUGCGCUGAUGCAGGACGACAAGCUGUAAUUUGGUGUACACAUUUACCUCAUUUGCAUGAGAAGCAUUUGUGCUGCGAGCCGCCGAGGUGAACGAAUUACCGCGGCGGUUAUUCUCAGUCUAAAUAACGGAGGCGAAAUUACGAGCGAUGCUGGGAAGUCGGGGAGUUGCUCAUUACAACGGAGGAGCUUUUUUUUCCCCUUUUUUAAUGUCUCCCGAUGUCUCUUUUAUCCAAGACUCGCAGGACGACAGUUUGUGAGUUUUUUACCGUCUCAUGGGGACAUUCAGAUGCACGAAGUCCUGGGCAGGUGAAUUUCAAGGUCAAAUUUGGGACCAGAUGUCAGAAGACCUGUUGAGGACCACAGUUUAAGGCCAAACAGAUUUGUUUUACAGCGUUCUGAGGACAUGUCUACUGGACCGGACCAGGUUUAGGACUUUCUGGUAUGUUUUUACGAAGACAGCAUAACUGAUUUCUUUCAGACAUCUUUUAUCAAACGCUACCCAGGUGCCUUUUGUGCUUUGUGGUUAUCGUCAUUCUUCCGUAGUCUGUAGACACGUAAAGUAACGUCACUCUGCUUCAGAUCAAAGAAACGAGAACCUUUUAAGUUGUCCUACACAUCUUCAAAGUCUCUCUCUGAUACACUGAGCCAGAAAUAUCCGCUUCUGGAGCGUUUUACCUUCACCAAACCUUCUCUUUUAUUCCCCCGGAGGCUCUUUUUUUACACGGGGACUUGUUUAUGUAUCAUUCAGAGGCUGAUUUAUAUAAAACUCCAACCCUAAAAACACAGUAGAAAUUGAUCCCUUUAUAGCUGUUGACAGCAUUAUCUGAUUUAUUGAGUGGUAAGCAAAAAAAGUAACCUUGGCUGUAGAGAGAAUUUAGAACCUGGCUCAGAUUUCCUGUAAAUCACGUUCAAACACAUGAUGCAAUCAUCAAAAAAGACUGUUUUCAUAUGAUUUUAUGGUAAAAUGUGCAAUAAAAACCAUGUAAUCCUGAGUCAGGAGGUUGGGGUCAUGUGACAUGCACAGAAAUUGUGACUUUUCUUGAGAUAUUGAAAUAAAAUGAGAAUGCACUGCAAUAAAUCUAAAGACUUGGUUAUAGCAAAUCCAAUUUUUGAUCAACUGUAUAAAAAGAAAAAGACGUUUCGUGUUGCCUUGUCUCACAUGAGGAAAAUAAUCAAAAACACCAAAAUAUAUGACACGCCAAAAACAAGACAAUGUCAGGUUUGUGACUCGCUGAGAUCCCGUCCCAGUCGUCUUCAUCAUGUGAAGCAGGUCCAGAACAGAAGGGAAGCGAAAAUGGAAAGUGAUUUUCUUUUCAUUACAAAACGAGGAGAACAAAUUUGAAUCCUAAAUCAUUAAUGCCUGUUUGUAUAACCACAUUUCCUCGCUUCACUUCCUCCAGACUUGAAGACCUCAACGUCGUCACCGUGACUACAAACACUCGCAAGCACGACUCGCUUUGUUUGUUUGUGUCGCUGUCGUCCCGCAGCUGAGGGGGGAGCGGUGCCACAGCGGAUCACCGCCCAUAGGUUUGAUGUGGACUGGAGUUGUUUGGUGGCUUCAAUGACGCAGCGUGCGAGGUGCAGCAGCCAAACACUCCCCCGCUCCCUCAAUUUCUUUUCCACCACAAACUCAGUGUUGAGUCACGACAGACGCCAGGACGCUGAGGAGAGCGACGUCCUCCACUUUGGAACGUCCUGGAUUUGAGAAACGGUGAAGUUCCUCCAUUUUGACCAUUUUUCACAGGGAAUCAAGGUUUUUUUUGUGCCAAAAUAAAUGCCUGUUGUCUGGAACACGAAAAACACCUCAUAUAUAUUGUAUAUAUUGAUGUACAGUAGAUGUUGAUUUGGCAGAGAUUUUUUUAGUCGCGUAUCCUCCCAUUUAUCCAACACUGGAUGUGGCCACCCUGUGGCUAGAGGUCAAUUUAGAGUGUCCAUUGAACAAGGAGCAAUGGGGAUCGGGUACCCGGCAACUCUUCAGUUGCAAGCCAAGUUCUCUUUCUGCUUGGUUACGAGCUGCCCCGAUAAUAAUAUUCAUAAUAAUAAUAAACGAUAUGUAUUGAGAGAGUCCCAAAGUCUGGGUCAGGAAUUUUCCCCCAACCUUUACUUUAGAGUUAUAUAUUUAUUAAUGUAUAUGUAUAUGCUUAACACAACAUGACAUUUAAUGACUUUAUCAAAGAUUUUUCAGAUAAGUGCUUACAUUUGUAAUUUGGGGUGCGAUACUUUGCCGUUUUCUUUAAAUCAAGUGUUUCCCAAUACAUAGAAAGUAUUGGGAAACACUUUAACAUACAGUAGAGCAACACAACAAUAUACUAUUAUAUUACUUAUUUCAGCUUCCUUCUUUCUAGGGGGCGCCACUGCAGAUGAUCCACAUAUUAAGAUUCCCUGACGCAAACCUCCCAUUUAUCCAAGUUGUGGCUGGAGGUCAAUUUAACACAAACCAGAACCGACUUCAGCGUCUUUGAAGGAUUCUGGAAAGAUAGCGGACCUACAAGGAGCCACUGAAGAGGGGCCGAAGAGCUGCAUGAAGCCCGGGAGCCGCAGAUGCAGAACCCUGGUCCAUUGCAGCCAGACUCUCCCUGAUAAGGAUGAUGGAUGGGGCAGAACUCUGGCUCCAGCCGAGCCCCGGCAGCUUCCUGGGAGCUGAGAGAUACUGAGGAGGAGGAGGAGGAGGUGCCCGGGCCGCCUCGUCUGAGGAGUAGCGGCUCGUCUCUGAACCUGUCCCGUGUGACCGAGCUUCUCACUGUCUCUAAGAGCAAGCCCAGGAACCCUGCGGAGGAACCCUGUGGACCCAUUUCGGCCGCUUGUAUCCGCACACAUUGAGCAUCUUAUUACAUGUUUUAAUACAGUUUGAGUCUGCUUGUUGUUUCACAGGUUUUCGAGACUCUUUGUUUUUGCAUCUUAAUCUUUGACGGUUUCACAUCUCAUUGCCUGUAUCCCAGGUUAUUAAACAUUUUGCAUCCUUAUAUUACUUUUAAUUAAACUUACUUUUAUUCCACA